rnacentral:rRNA from 1 species
CGUACAGGUCUCCGUAGGUGAACCUGCGGAGGGAUCAUUACACAAAUAUGAAGGCGGGCUGGAACCUCUCGGGGUUACAGCCUUGCUGAAUUAUUCACCCUUGUCUUUUGCGUACUUCUUGUUUCCUUGGUGGGUUCGCCCACCACUAGGACAAACAUAAACCUUUUGUAAUUGCAAUCAGCGUCAGUAACAAAUUAAUAAUUACAACUUUCAACAACGGAUCUCUUGGUUCUGGCAUCGAUGAAGAACGCAGCGAAAUGCGAUAAGUAGUGUGAAUUGCAGAAUUCAGUGAAUCAUCGAAUCUUUGAACGCACAUUGCGCCCUUUGGUAUUCCAAAGGGCAUGCCUGUUCGAGCGUCAUUUGUACCCUCAAGCUUUGCUUGGUGUUGGGCGUCUUGUCUCUAGCUUUGCUGGAGACUCGCCUUAAAGUAAUUGGCAGCCGGCCUACUGGUAUCGGAGCGCAGCACAAGUCGCACUCUCUAUCAGCAAAGGUCUAGCAUCCAUUAAGCCUUUUUUUCAACUUUUGACCUCGGAUCAGGUAGGGAUACCCGCUGAACUUAAGCAUAUC